AGGUGGGAAAUUAUAGGUGCUACCUACUUCAAAGGCCUUGGCAGCCAGGGCUCCUCUUUGAUAGAUGACAGUAUUGUUAAUGGUGAUUUAUUGCCGGGACCAUUUUGACAACAGAAAUAACCAGUUUCCCCACCUUCUUUCUUGGCUCCCUCCCCCCAACACCUUGUGGUGCCUUUUUUUUUCCCCUGAGCUGGGGUAGGAUGGAGGUUACCUCCCUUACCAGGAGGCUCCGGGCAUCUGUUGAAUGCACACAGUGAGGUAUCUGGCUUAUUAACUUGUCAUCGGGUGUCAUAAAGUUUAGUGACAUGCUGGCAGUGUAUAAUCCUAAACAGGGCAAUUACCCUGUGAUUACAGCAGCUUUCUCUUGCUUCCUUCUCCCUCUCCCUUCUGGGUCUCUCUGCCUGUCUUCUGGGUUGUGUAGUUCUUAUCUUACCUCUACCUGCCUCAGUCAGAACAGAAGUCAAGCCGUUUUGCAAUUCCAGAGUGAACCAGGCUUUGGCUAGGCACAGCGUGGAGGAGCUAGGGCCUCUUGCUGCUGCCAGAGUUGUGGAGCGAGGUUGCUGGGCCAGGGGCAGUGGCUAGCAGGGGUUCCACUGGGUUCUGCUCCUAGGCAGUGGGGUUGGAACCAGGGGUAGAAAAUAAAAGACGGAGGUGGCAGAGGCGCAGUGGGGACCUGGACACAACGACACGAAACGGGCUGAACUGUGUCUCCGCGUCCGCUGCCCCCGUAGUUGCGGCCGUUGCCCAUGAGCGAGGACUGUCAUUCCUGCCUUGUUUAUAUGACACAGGUUUAGAGAAGAGCCAAUCAGAUAGUGGGUAGGGAAGAGAACCGCCGCCGCCACUCAGGGGGUGACUGCCACCUCGCACAACAUGCCACAGGGGUUAUUUCUGUCUAACCGAGCCCCUGCUCUUAUUCCAGAGGAGCAGAAGUGAUACUCUGACCAACCACAGGCGGCACCUACGAGGACGGCCCCAUUAACUAUAUUGCCUGGUGACGUCACGGCCAUCUGAGUUCCUGGGGCUGACUCCAGAUGCUGCUUGCAUGAUGGGGAAGCCACGUGACAUUUGUCAGCCCCCGCUCCUCCCGAAGGGCUGCCUGUUUGUCAACAGGAAUGUAUUCCGUUUCUUGAGGCUGUGAUGACCCUGGUUUCUUAAUCUUCCUGGCAGAAGACGCAUGAGAACUAAGAACUCUAAGGUUCAAGUGUCUGACACAGGCUGUUUCUGAACCCCCACUGUGGACCUGGUAUGGUACCACCUGCAGGGUGGCGAGGACGAGGGACACCAUUCUAACCGUGCGGAACUCAAGCCUCGGGCCGCACACAAGGCAGAGGAAGAGACUUCUGCUGCAGAGCUGGGCCUCCCAGCCGUGGUGUGCUUUCUGUGGCUUACUUCGAGCGUUGGGUGGCGUGCAGGGAGAUCGAACUGAGAACGCGUACCGGUGGAACUUGCUGGAAAUGCAAAGAGGGCAGAAGAGGUUUAGAAGUCGUCUGAGGCUUUGCAUCGGAGAGAAAAAGAGAUAGAGAUGCUUUAGAAAGGACUCCGGGAGCUUGGCAUGAGGUUGGGGCAGAGACGGACAUGCAGAGGCCCCAACACUGGGUGCCACCUGAAGAUCCUGAAGAGGUAAAGAAGAUCCAAGGCAGUGCCGCUGCUUUCCCCUGCCAUGUGUGUGUGGUGGGGAGUUGGUGGUAAUGGAUUUUCUUCUGCGUGCGUGCGAGAGAGAGAGAGAGAGAGAGAGAGAGAGAGAGAGAGAGAGAGAGAGAGAGAGAGAGAUAUUCUGAUGUUAAGGCACUGACUCUACCUCCCCUGGGGACUUUGCCAGGUCAAGGUACAGGUCACAGCUUCAUUUUGCCCUCUGGAAAGUUAAAAAAAAAAAAAAAAAAAAGAUGGCAUGGUUUUCUCUGUGCUGGCAAUUUCAGGCACCUUGACUUAAUUAGCCACCAACCAACUGUGUGAUCUUGUACAAGUCGCUUCAUCCCUGUGCCUCAUCUGAAAAGCAAGGUAGGACCACUGCACUGGGUUGCUACUAAAUAGUAGAGUGAUGUCAUGGACAGUAGGUAUUUUGUAAACUUGACCGUGAUAUACACAGGUUACUGUGUGUGCUUUGAUAAGGAUUCGGAUCCUGUUAUCUGAAUAUCGACCCUCUUCUCUAAGCAAAAGGUUUCUGACUCUGGACUGCCUGCAGGGACCAGCCGCUUGGUUUAUUGAGCAGGAUGGGCCCCUAUUAGGGAGAUCUCUGCUCUUGUACACACACACACACACACACACACACACACACACACACACACACACACACUCGUUACUGAGGAUCGUACUACACUCCCUCCUACCCCAGGAGGGCACUGCUCCCAGUUCUGUAUGGAAGCGCCUUACCCAGCCUGGCCUUGGCCAGCCCAUCUGGGCAGACCUUAGAGGGGUCUAACCUGAAAGGCAGCUUUUGAUAACACAGACUCAAGAUAAGAGGGCUAGGUGGGCGGAGCCCUCUCUCUCCUUGGAUUGAUAACCCGCUGUGUAGCAUCAGUUCUGGAAUUGCUAAAUCCACCCUUACCCCGCCGCCGUGGGAGAUUGCAGCUGCACAUCUUAUCUGAACAGAGGCCAUUUCGUGAGCACGCGUGGGUGUGUGCAGAGCGGAGGGGAAAGGAAGUGUUGCCAAACCUCCAGGCUGUUCAGUCAGUCCCCCCCCAUCCCCCACCCCCGCUCCUUCCCAUUCCCAGGUAUAUCGGUGUGCAGCCUAAGGAUGGGCUGUGCCCUCUGAAGCACACUUUAGGUGAUUUUUGUCCCGAACCAUCAUGGAGUGUCAGUCACCUGACACAGCCUCUUGAAGCCACUGAGAGACACUAUCGCCAUGAGAUAUCUGUGAAGCCGCUGUUGGUGUCACCCAGCCUGUUCUUUGGCAGAGCACAUACUGAAGCAAUGAAAAAGUCAGUUUAACGAACGCAAACUCAGUAACAGAGCUGUUUGUGGUUACCAAGCACCAUGUACUGUGGAUGUUAUACGUCCAUUACUAACACCAGCCGUCCCACCAUUUUGCCCUGAUGUUACAACGGCUACAGUGUCUCUAAGUGUUGGAGACUCUCAGCUUCAUUGUAUCCUUUUAAGACAGCCAUUCAGGCAUGUGGAUUUUCAUUGACGAAAAUGUCACAAUGGGUUUAGCUUAGACAUGUAUGGGUUUUCUGUAGGGCCUAGUAGAUAGACCUCAUGAAACAUCGGUGGUGACGGUGACAGUGAUGUCCCCUUAAGUCAGGCUCUUGAAUGCUCCCUCAGAGACCUCAUGCUAUAGGCUCAGCUCCUGACCCUGACUUGGGACAUGGUGGGACCUUGAUAAGUGAGGCCUCGUGGCAGGAAGUUAAGUCAUUAGGGUGUGUCCUCAAAGGGGAUUUGAGGGAUGAUGGUGUCUUUGCUUCCCGGCUGCCAUAAGUUGAGUGGGACUUCUUUGCCACACACUUCUACCAUGAUAUUCUUUCUGUCUCAAUGACAGGCCUCCAAACAGCGGAGCCCACUGACCAUAGAUAGGAAUUCCCAAGUUUUUAGUUCUUCCUUUUAAGUAGAUUUUAGCUGACAUUUUUUUUUUUAUCACAGAAGUGGAAAACUAACAACAAUGAAGAUUCUAGCUUGGGAAAGGGACCCUGUGCGUGCAUGUAUGUGUGUGAGUAUGGGUGUGUAGUCUGGAUAUGAACCUUGGGUGCUCUCUACCUAUUGUUUGAGUCAGGGUCUCUUCCCUGGGACCUGAGACUUAUUGAUUAGGCUUGGUUUGUUGGCCAGCGACGCUCAGGGAUCUGCCUAUCUCUGCCUUCCCAGUGCUGGGAUUAUAAACACAUGCCACCAUAUCUAGGAAAGCGCUUUACUAAUUGUGCUAUAGCCUCUUUAGUAAGUACCAAUUGAUCCAUCUCUCUAGCCCUUUGGUAAGGUCUAUUUAAUUCAGCUAGUGUUUAGCAUAUGCUUAUUCUUUCUCAGGGCUAGGAAUGUUAUUAUUUGGGAAAUAUAUGUAAGGGGAGAACAUGAAGGACAGGGUGGACUCUUCUUUAGAGCCUUGGUAAGUCCAGGUUGGCCCUCAAACCUGCCUGGCUCUCUGACUCAGUGUUGCCCUUUGCUGCUGACAAAGGUCAGGAUGGAGGUUAGGCCUGAGCAGAAGUGGUGGCACAGAGAUGAGCAGGUUGAGCUCCCCUGCAAGGACAGGGACGGGGAGGGACUGGGAUAGAAAGCGGAGCCUGUGGUCUCAUAGCUUUAACCUGGGCACCGGGAAGGUCCAAGUAGAAAUGCAUGCCCUGGCUGCCUUCUUGGAGGGAAUGGGUGUUAGAGCUCACAGGGACCCAAGCAGGGGUGUGCUGUGGGAUGGUCUGUAUGUCAAAUAAAACACUGAUUGGCCAGCGGCUAGGCAGGAAGUAGGUGGGACAAGGAGAGAGGAGAAUUCUGGGAAGCA